AGCCGCGGAAGGCCGGAGAUCACCGCCCACGCGCGUGAGUCCAAGUUCGCGAAGUUAGCCGCGGAAGGCCGAAGCUUUUCCAAAACUCCGCAGUUAUCGAGAAAUAUCGCGAAUUUUACGACACUUUUGGAGAUAUACUCACGUGUCUUAUCUCUCGUGCUCUACUCCCGGUAAUUGACGUCGAUUUAUCCACACUACGACGAUGUCGGUCCUCGGGAACGAAUAAAUUUCUUCCUCUUUUAACACUCAGCACUCGCGCGCAAAGAUGGAGAAAGAAGGGUACGAAGUAAAUUAUAGAUCAAUCCGGGGGUGGACUAAUAGUUUUGCCGUCGAGAUUGCACAUGCAGGCGAGGUACAGAUUUCAAAGAGUGGAAAGUUCUCGGAGAAAAGUGGAAAACGAUGAUUCCUCAAAUUAUUACAUCUUGGAGCAUCAAUUGGCGCUUUCUCAACAUGCAUAAUUAAAAAUUUUAUAACAUUUACUAAUGCACGUGUAAGAUAUUAGUCAAAAUUCUCUUGAAUGAAAUUAAUAG